CCCAAUUCUGGGUGCCAUUUGAGGAAGCAACGAUUAAGUAAUAAGCAGCAACAGGCUAUGUAUGACGCUGCACCAAGAAACUUCAUCUCUGAUUAACUGCAGGUUCCGUAAAUGUUACCCGUAGCGGAGGGACCCCUGGAUGCUUCCCUGUCUGAAGUUCCUUUCUGGACACUUUCCUCAUUCACUCACUGUUCGUUCUUCUGCAACAGCGAGGAAAUGAAGAAGAGGAAGGAAAGGAGGCAGUAAGCAAACAGCCAAUGGGGAAGGGGGCAGAUUAAGGUACCAGAGGUACCCUUAGAGCUUAUGCAACUGGCCUGUGCUCAGCAGUGUCCAAACAAGGCGCAAAAGCAACCUUCCUGUUAGACAACAGCCGUGAGAAGGAAAGCAGAAGUUUGCCUUUUGGUUACAGGAAAUCAGCGCGGACCAACCACCGCCCUGUCCGUGCAGCGCAGGCCCUGCCCUUUCCCCUCACCUCCCAUAUCCCACGUCUUCAUCAGUCAGAGAGCAGUCUGGGGUGUUGUUCAGCAUCAACUAAUGACGGGUAUCUUUGUCCCAAGUGAAGCAAUCCCAAGACCCAUUCCUCUUGUGUGACUUACCAGAGGCCUGAGGGCAAUUCCAGAGACCAGUUUUUCAGCUUAUUCAGACUGUUAUUUUUGUUAUGUGAGAGUCUAAUACGGCAGUAACUUCACUUCAGACAAAAAGAUAGGAAGGGGCAGACUCCCUUCUGCACACAGACAUUGGCCAAGUGUAGUAGAAAAGUCCUGCUUACCUAGGGGAGCUGGCGGCCACAGAGCACGUCUGAUAGCCAGCUGCCCACUGCCAGUGAGCGCCUUCUCCCCGACCAGGAGGAAACUCUUACGCACGAGAAAACACGUCAGCUGAUUGCCUUGCACACUGCUUUUGGACCUGAGGAUCUUCUCGCAGAUUAAUCACCUCCUCAUGAGACCCCGAGCAAGAAAAACCUUUCCUCAAGCUGUAUAUGCUUGUUUUGUGGAAGUUUCAAAUGGAGCUGGGAGAAGACCUGGAGAACCACUGUCAAGACAAAUGAUGUCAAAGCUCCUUGUAUUCUUGUUGGGUUCUUAGAUGCUUUCUUUAUUUAAUUCCAUUGAAUACAGUCUUUUACAGAGA
rnacentral:lncRNA from 1 species